UUUUAGCACAUCGGCAAGGCAACAGCUGAAGAUGGUGGAAGACUACAAAUCAUCGUCGAAAAACUAAGUGAACUGAGUAAAAAAGUUAAUAGUGACAACCUAAGCGACGAUGAAAAAAAAGUAAGUU